GACGGAGGAGGCAAGCGUUGUCCGGAAUCAUUGGGCGUAAAGAGCGCGUAGGCUGUUUUUCAAGUCGUAUGUGAAAACCUCAGGCUCAACUUGAGGAUUGCAUAUGAAACUGGAUAACUUGAGUGCAGUAGGGGAAAGCGGAAUUCCUGGUGUAGCGGUGAAAUGCGCAGAUAUCAGGAAGAACACCAGUAGCGAAGGCGGCUUUCUGGGCUGCUACUGACGCUGAGGCGCGAAAGCUAGGAGAGCAAACAGG
rnacentral:rRNA from 1 species